rnacentral:rRNA from 1 species
CCUACGGGAGGCAGCAGUAAGGAAUAUUGGUCAAUGGAGGCAACUCUGAACCAGCCAUGCCGCGUGCAGGAAGACGGCCCUAUGGGUUGUAAACUGCUUUUGAACUAGAGAAAACCUUGGUACGUGUACCGAGUUGAUAGUAUAGUUAGAAUAAGCAUCGGCUAACUUCGUGCCAGCAGCCGCGGUAAGACGAAGGAUGCAAGCGUUAUCCGGAUUCAUUGGGUUUAAAGGGUGCGUAGGCGGACUGAUAAGUCAGUGGUGAAAUCUCUCAGCUUAACUGAGAAACUGCCAUUGAUACUGUUAGUCUAGAGUACAGAUGAUGUGGGCGGAAUAUGACAUGUAGUGGUGAAAUACUUAGAUAUGUCAUAGAACACCGAUUGCGAAGGCAGCUCACAAAACUGUAACUGACGCUGAGGCACGAAAGUGACGGGGAUCAAACAGGAUUAGAUACCCUGGUAGUCCGCACCGUAAACGAUGAUUACUCGUUGUUGGCGAUAUGACAGUCAGCGACCAAGCGAAAGCGANAAGUAAUCCACCUGGGGAGUACGCCGGCGACGGUGAACGUACGAAAGGAAUUGACGG